rnacentral:rRNA from 1 species
CCCGAGUGCUUGCACUCAAUUGGAAAGAGGAGUGGCGGACGGGUGAGUAACACGUGGGUAACCUACCCAUCAGAGGGGGAUAACACUUGGAAACAGGUGCUAAUACCGCAUAACAGUUUAUGCCGCAUGGCAUAAGAGUGAAAGGCGCUUUCGGGUGUCGCUGAUGGAUGGACCCGCGGUGCAUUAGCUAGUUGGUGAGGUAACGGCUCACCAAGGCCACGAUGCAUAGCCGACCUGAGAGGGUGAUCGGCCACACUGGGACUGAGACACGGCCCAGACUCCUACGGGAGGCAGCAGUAGGGAAUCUUCGGCAAUGGACGAAAGUCUGACCGAGCAACGCCGCGUGAGUGAAGAAGGUUUUCGGAUCGUAAAACUCUGUUGUUAGAGAAGAACAAGGACGUUAGUAACUGAACGUCCCCUGACGGUAUCUAACCAGAAAGCCACGGCUAACUACGUGCCAGCAGCCGCGGUAAUACGUAGGUGGCAAGCGUUGUCCGGAUUUAUUGGGCGUAAAGCGAGCGCAGGCGGUUUCUUAAGUCUGAUGUGAAAGCCCCCGGCUCAACCGGGGAGGGUCAUUGGAAACUGGGAGA